CUCAGUGUGGUGCAAUGGUAGCAUACUCUGUUACGGGUCUCCGUUGGAGCCCGUGGUCCAUAUGCUGUUGGACAGAGAGAUGUAGGUUUGAUUCCUAACACUGAGA